CGAUAUAUUUUAGUCAUCUNNNNCCAAUGANGUUUAUUAAAUGGCUGCAGUAUAUUUGACUGUACAAAGGUAGCAUAAUCAAUUGAUUUUUGAAUGGAAUCUGGAAUGAAAUGAUUAAUGAAAUAUAUACUGUCUCAUACAUAUAAUAUGAAUUUAAAAUUUUUAUAAAAAUUAGAAAUUUGUUAAAACUUUUUUGUGGGNCGAUAAGACCCUAUAGAAUUUUAUAUAAAAUAAAUUUUAUAUUAAUNUAAAAUUUAUUUUNNNUUUAAUUGGGAGAAUUAUUAAAUUUAAAAGAUUUUGAUUUUUAUAAAACUUUAAUUAAAGAAAAGUUAUUGAUUUGAAAUUUUUAAUUAUUAGUAUAAAUUACCUUAGGGAUAACAGCGUAAUAUUUUUUUAUAGAUCUUAUAGAAAAAAAUGAUUGCGACCUCGAUGUUGAAUUAAGAUAAAUUUUAAAUGUAGAAGUUUAAUAAUUAAGUCUGUUCGACUUUUAAAAUCUUACAUGAUUUGAGUUCAAAUCGACGUGAGU
rnacentral:rRNA from 1 species